rnacentral:lncRNA from 1 species
GGCCGAUGCGACCGCCCUCGCUGCUCUCCCUCACCCUCGACUCCGCGCUCCUCCGCAUCGCCCACAUCGCCGACCUCUCCAGCAUUCCCGACCACCUCGUCAUCGACCUCUUCCGUGUAGGUAUCCCGCGCCGCCCUCCGCCUCCCUUUCAAAUCUGUUGCUACUACCGGUUGCUCGUGCUGAGAAGGUAACUGCCAGUGCGUGGCUUCGUUCUGGCUGGGUUCGAUCAUGUCGGGUUGGGCUUGUCCGCUCGUUUAGUGGUUAUAUGCUGCCUGAUCCGUUCUGGUACCAUGCUAAUUUGUUGCAAGGUUGAUAGAACUUGUCGAAUUGUGUGGAAAGGGUUCACAUCAAUUGUUCUGGGAUCCAUGCCUUUGCUAACAGUUGUCAAAGUGGUGAUGUGUAAUCAAUUUUGAUUGUUAUUUCCCUUUUUGGACACUGCAUUGAUUUUUUUUAAUAAUAUACCUAAAAAUUGGAUUUAGUCAUGAAAGUGUUGGCAAUUAUGGACUGUGGUGGUGGGGAAGAGUAGCGGAUGCCUUAAUGUUGGUUACGGUGAGACCCUCCACACAAAGGCAAUUUGGAAAGCAGUAGUGUUGUAAUCUGGUAUAUGUAAUUGCACAGUUGGAAUUUUGUAAUUAUCAUCAUUUUUCUAGUUAUGAUGGAAGUGUGAUAGUUUAUAUGGCAAGGAUUUGAGUUAUCAGAUAUCCCAGAAAAGGGUGGAUUGUGUUAACUUGUGCACACUUAUGAAUGUGUUAGCUAAUUUGCUCUUGCAUUUUGAUGGCAGAGAACUCUGAGUGCUGGGAAGCUGACAGAGAAAGUUCUGAAGUUGUUUCUGGCAACUGGUUGUGAGGAAAUCAUAUUGGCUGUUCAAUUGCUAAACAUUAAGCAACCAGUCGUUCCGGUCCUUCCCACACGUGUGUUUGUCAUCAUAUUACCCUUGCUCGUUCAGUUAUUAGCCGCAGCAGCUUUUGUUUUGACACAACAUCUGCUUGUUUGCAGGGUGCUCUGAGAGGUUCUAGACCUGCUGUUGCUUAGAUCAUUUUGAUUACCUGAGAAGAUGUCUUCGGGAAUUCAAGACAGUGAGGUUGACAUUGUGAUCGCAGCACUCCAGCCCAACCUGAACACCUUCUUUGAAGCAUGGCGGCCAUUUUUCUCUCGUUUCCACAUCAUUGUUGUCAAAGAUCCAGACAUGAAAGAGGAUCUUCAAAUCCCCACU